AUGGCCCAUGAGAGGGAGAUUUUAAAAGGAAUGUAUGAGGAGCUGAAGGAAAAGUCCCAUAAACCAGAUGUGGAGCUAAUCCAGCAUCGUGCAUGGAGGAUCCACAUGGUUUCCACAGAGCUGGAGUCAUUCAGGGAAGCUUCUUAUAUCGAGAGUGGUCCAGAAGAAUUCUACCAAAGAUUUAAGAAGUGUUUUUCUACAACUCAUAUCUUCAUAAGUAUGAAGGGUAAAGAUUCUCAGAAUACAGUUCAUGGAUAUCUGAUUCUUAACAGGUAA
rnacentral:lncRNA from 1 species